UUUUAACUCCAUCCCCCAACAUUAAAACUCCUUUAAAUUUGUUUCUUAUUAUUUCAAUUAUGUUAAGGUAUUUCUUAGAGAAGUAUGGGGUUUAUUGCAUUAUUCCCAUAAGAGUAAUAAAAACACUCAUCUAUUACCUGUUCUGGACAAUCACACUUGGUAUAAAAUUGGCUUUAUUAGGUACAUUAUGAGACUUGCUUACAAUCACCCUGCAGCUCCGAUUUCUGCUGAGUCCACAAGGAUUUUUAUUGGACUUGGAGUACCUGCAGGGUGCUUAAGGUCUGUUUUCCAUCUCCUCCCCUGCUGAUGAUGGCUGCAAUUCCAUUAAAGCCUGGUUUUGAAUAGCAAAGAUGUCAGCAGGUGCAAAGAAGAGUGAACAUUUCAGAGGAUGACUUGCAGGCUG
rnacentral:lncRNA from 1 species